rnacentral:rRNA from 1 species
AGAGUUUGAUCCUGGCUCAGAUUGAACGCUGGCGGCAGGCCUAACACAUGCAAGUCGAACGGUAACAUUUCUAGCUUGCUAGAAGAUGACGAGUGGCGGACGGGUGAGUAAUGCUUGGGAACUUGCCUUUGCGAGGGGGAUAACAGUUGGAAACGACUGCUAAUACCGCAUAAUGUCUUCGGACCAAACGGGGCUUAGGCUCCGGCGCAAAGAGAGGCCCAAGUGAGAUUAGCUAGUUGGUAAGGUAACGGCUUACCAAGGCGACGAUCUCUAGCUGUUCUGAGAGGAAGAUCAGCCACACUGGGACUGAGACACGGCCCAGACUCCUACGGGAGGCAGCAGUGGGGAAUAUUGCACAAUGGGGGAAACCCUGAUGCAGCCAUGCCGCGUGUGUGAAGAAGGCCUUCGGGUUGUAAAGCACUUUCAGUUGUGAGGAAAAGUUAGUAGUUAAUACCUGCUAGCCGUGACGUUAACAACAGAAGAAGCACCGGCUAACUCCGUGCCAGCAGCCGCGGUAAUACGGAGGGUGCGAGCGUUAAUCGGAAUUACUGGGCGUAAAGCGCACGCAGGCGGUUUGUUAAGCUAGAUGUGAAAGCCCCGGGCUCAACCUGGGAUGGUCAUUUAGAACUGGCAGACUAGAGUCUUGGAGAGGGGAGUGGAAUUCCAGGUGUAGCGGUGAAAUGCGUAGAUAUCUGGAGGAACAUCAGUGGCGAAGGCGACUCCCUGGCCAAAGACUGACGCUCAUGUGCGAAAGUGUGGGUAGCGAACAGGAUUAGAUACCCUGGUAGUCCACACCGUAAACGCUGUCUACUAGCUGUGUGUGUCUUUAAGACGUGCGUAGCGAAGCUAACGCGCUAAGUAGACCGCCUGGGGAGUACGGCCGCAAGGUUAAAACUCAAAUGAAUUGACGGGGGCCCGCACAAGCGGU